rnacentral:rRNA from 1 species
UACGGGGGGAGCAAGCGUUGUUCGGAUUUACUGGGCGUAAAGGGCGCGUAGGCGGUCAGCACAAGUCAGUUGUGAAAUCUCCGGGCUUAACUCGGAAAGGUCAACUGAUACUGUGCGACUAGAGUGCGGAAGGGGCAACUGGAAUUCUCGGUGUAGCGGUGAAAUGCGUAGAUAUCGAGAGGAACACCUGCGGCGAAGGCAGCUCGCUGGAACGUAACUGACGCUGAGACGCGAAAGCGUGGGGAGCAAACAGG